rnacentral:rRNA from 1 species
UACAGAGGGGGCAAGCGUUGUUCGGAAUUACUGGGCGUAAAGGGCGCGUAGGCGGCCUUCUAAGUCGAACGUGAAAUCCCCGGGCUCAACCCGGGAACUGCGUCCGAUACUGGAAGGCUUGAAUCCGGGAGAGGGAUGCGGAAUUCCAGGUGUAGCGGUGAAAUGCGUAGAUAUCUGGAGGAACACCGGUGGCGAAGGCGGCAUUCUGGACCGAAACUGACGCUGAGGCGCGAAAGCCAGGGGAGCAAACGGG